UUUGUUUCCUCUUUCUCUGAAGCAGCAAAUGAAAUGGCUUCUUUAGGGUUUCACCAACCCAUGAGUGCCGCCGCUCAGCCUUGUGCCAAAGCUUCGGUUACGACGGAGAUGGCAACAACUCUGUGGUUCCGGCAAAAAAAAAGGUAAGUUUCCCUUUCUCUUCCUCUUAUUAUUUUAAGCAAAAUAUGAAAAUAAAAGAAAAAAUAAAAAAUAUAGAUAGAGAGUAAAGAAUGAUGAACGUCAAUAAUGUAGAACGAAAAUAAAAAGAAACCUUUGUAUUCAAAAAGAUUUUCGUAUUGAUUCUUUUAUCUGUAUUCCACUUUUUCUAUGUAUUUUCCGUCGUCCCUUUUACAAUAUUGAGAUGGCCUUUUUAUAGCCAUCGUGAAACAAGAAAAAAUAAAAAGAAAUCUUUUUCCAGCAUAUUCGUGAUUCUUGAUUUUCUUGCCAUAUUUGCUGCCUAUAUUGCCUUGUUUCCUUUCUUUGGUGCAGGUGAAGAUGUGCGCGGCGGCUGGCUGCGGCACUGCUAAUCUUUAGAAACCCUAGGGUUUUUGACUGUAAUUUGGGGUUUGGUUCUGGGCCUCCGUUUGGUUUGGGGUUUGGGCCAUAUAGGCUUGUUUGUAAAACCAGGACAUUUAUUUUUGGGUUUUAUUAGUAAUAGUGCUGGGAAAAAUUUGUGUAUUACACUAUAUGUAACUUAUAAUAUUAAUUAAAUAUAUCUACG
rnacentral:lncRNA from 1 species